UUUUGUUUCCCAUCCUGAAGCUCCUCCCUGAGCCCACUCCUCUGGACUUGGGUGCACCAAACUCCACUUGAUCCUCAGUAUAUUGGCACCCCCUCUUCCCACUACACAGUUCCACUAAACCAGUGGCUCCAUUUUGCAUGCAUCAGAAUCCCCUGUGGGUCUGCUAUAUCAGACUGCUGGGCCCCGUCAAAGUGUCUGUCUCACAAAACAAGACACUCUGGUUACCAGCCCCAGGGGAGAACUCCAAACACUUGUGCCUAUUGACCUUGGCAUCAGAGUCACCAAGGAAAACAGUGCAGUCAAGCACUGAAAGGGACGAUGCUUUGCUUAGGUAGAGAAGACACAGAACAAGACCAGCUCCAAUAGUGUGGUCAGUGUAGAUAGGGUAAUUUACCUAUGCACACUCCUCUUGCACCCUAGAGGAAUAACCCCAUAUUUCUAUCUCGAGUCUGAAAUACUGAAAGCUGGCGGGGGGUGUCUAGGGCCCUUGACACACAUCCAUUGAGUCUGAAAGCUCUCCCCACACAAUGCAUGAGGUGAUAGGCACGGCACAGGCUUUCUCUCUCUGUAAGGAAGUACCCAAGGCCCCUUCUCAUGUGGCCCCACGUGGGUGGAAAGACCAUUUUCCCCUUUCCCGACGGUUUAUCUUUCCUUUCUCCGUCCCUUCCUUCUUCUUCCUUCCUUCCUUCUUUCCUUCCUUCCUCCCUCCCUCCCUCUCUCUCUCCUUCCUUCCUUCCUUCCUUAUGUUUUUUAGAGAGUGAGUCAUGCUAUGUUGUCUAGGCUGCUCUUGAACUCCUGGGCUCAAGCAAUCUUCCUGCCUCAGCCUCCUUAGUAGCAGCAAUUAAAGGGGUAUAAUCCCUGAGCAGGUUAACAGUUUCUCAUUCCAUGUGUCUAGGGAGAGACAGAGAAUCUACAUUUCUACAGGUCCCCGGGCGGUGCUGUGCAGGUGCAUGAUAAGGAGCGUGAUCUGAUGUCUGAUUCACACCAGGGUGUGGGAAUCUCAGAGGCAGAGAGCCCUGGAGAUGAAAGGGACAGAGACCUGGAUUCAGAUCUCAUUUUACAAUGAAGACCCCAAUGCAGAAAGUCAUGUCUGAAAUUCUGAGCUUACUCUUCUGCCUGCUGGGACCUGCUCUGGAUGAGAGAAGGGAGGAAAAGGACUAAUCAGAGGAGCCAAUGAAGUCACUCCAUGAGUUUCCUGAACCCUGCCCAGCUAGAGAUUAACGUCUGACCAUCAACAUAGGACACUGUGCAGAUGGCUACUUGCUGGCGCACAUGAAGACCAAAGCCAGGACACAAGCCCCAGCCCUGCUAAACACGGCAGAGACUCUGCCCCAGCCCACCUCCUGUGAGAAUCUGCUUCACUCCACAGCUGACCCCAGCAUCUUCAUGUGAGGACCAUGAAUGGACAUAGUUUCCAGGAUUUUUUGUGACCCAGGAAACCCGAACUCUCAUCAAAAAUGAAUAAAUAAAAGGAGGGAUGGGUAAGAAAAUGCUAAAAAUCUCCUUUUUGAAUCAUUAACAUUCACUUGAAAUUUGUCUCCACUAUUUCCUACUACCCUAGCAAACUCCAACCUGAAUAGCAUGGGUGAUGGCACUAAGCCCUAUAAUAGAAAAAGUGCCCUUAAGCUCUGUAUUAGUCCGUUCUCUCACUGCUAAUAAAGAUACACCUGAGGCUGGCUAAUUU
rnacentral:lncRNA from 1 species